rnacentral:rRNA from 1 species
UACGUAGGUGGCAAGCGUUGUCCGGAUUUACUGGGCGUAAAGGGCUCGUAGGCGGCCAACUAAGUCGGAUGUGAAAUCCCCAGGCUCAACCUGGGAACUGCAUCCGAUACUGGAUGGCUUGAAUUCGGGAGAGGGAUGCAGAAUUCCAGGUGUAGCGGUGAAAUGCGUAGAUAUCUGGAGGAAUACCGGUGGCGAAGGCGGCAUCCUGGACCGACAUUGACGCUGAUGAGCGAAAGCUAGGGGAGCAAACGGG